UGUGUUCUCCCAUUUUUGCCUUUGUUUAGCAAUUGUUGCCCUCAGAUUUCCCUUAGAAUUUCCAGCCCUACCUUCUGAUUUCCCAAUCGACUCGAACGACACCCCUUGCUUCUCCUAUAACUGGAUCUCCCUGUCGGCGAGAUUUUCAAGCCACAUUGUCUCGACCACCUAAGAUUCGUCGUCCAGUAUUCGCCGGCUGAAGGUGAGGUAGCCCAAUACGAGAUCGGUGCGGUUCGUUUUCCUUGUACCUAGAUCUCUCCGCCUACCAUCUUCGGCCAACAUCCAAUGAAGCACCUUACCAACGUCUACUCCAGGCUCCUACCGGCGGUAACUGGGCUCUUCAACAACCACUGGGUAAUUGCUCUUCCAUCUAACCACCGGAAUUGCCAUAGCUCGUCGUACAGCAAGGUUCGACCCCGGGUUAGUUUCAGCACCUUCCAAACAUCGAACUUCCAUCACAAAUCCGCUCCCCACAAUAGAUAACUUCGGCCAGCAGUGGAAUUGUUUCCCUAAAAGCCUGCACAAGUGCCAGUGCCCACUCGAUGCACUGUGCUGCAUCCGACUAGCAAGACCUACAACCAGCAGUGUGAAAGUCAGCCAAAUGGAACUCCUCAGAGUGCAAGGUCUUCAUUUCAACAUGUGAAACCGUGAUCGCAAAAGGCCACCGACAAGGCAAAUGCUUCUCCACAAAAGGAUGGCUGCGUAUCGCAGAAAUUUUCUACAAGAAAGUUGGAAAGAACUGGAUUGUAUUUGAGAUGAAGAACUACUGGAGUAAACUACGGAGUAGCACAAGCACCUGUUCGAGCUACUGUGAUGCACAGGAAUUGAGUACCGCUCGGGCACCAGUAUAAUCGUCGCUCCGGAGCAUUGGUGGGACGCCAAAAUCAAGAUGCAUUAUUUCCAUUAUAACUUCCAUGUACUACCAUGCAGUCUCUGUCUCAUUGAAGUUGUGUGAGAAUCCAAAGUAUGCGAAAUACAAGCACAUUGAUUGUAGCGAGAUUUAUGACACUUAUGGAAAGCUGUUCGAGGACAUCGGAGAUGCGACGAAAUAUGUACUGUCCCCAACGAAGCUGUCGCAACGUGGCUUCGAUCUGAGCACAAACAGUGAUUGAGAAGACGUCAGUGAUAAGUUGCCAAUCAACGCAGAGGGAAUCGAUUACAGUGGCAGUUCAAACGAAGACAGAGAAAACUCUUCGAUGAACAUAUCCGGGAGGCAAAGUGGUGACAAACGGAAAGGCAAACAAUGGAGGGAUAGAGGAAAUAAGAAAUGGUGCAGUGCCCAAGACAUGUCGACAUCACUUGAGCAGAUGGUUAGCGUCGGAACAGAUUUGGCCUCCAUUGCGAGAUCACAUAGUAAUGGAGGAAUGUCGAUCGACGAGUAUGUUGACGAACUGCUCUCGUCAGGUUACAUGAAUGAGGGUGAUGUGCUCCACAUGUUUGCCAUGUGGUUCCUUUGCUACAAAGAUAAUCAAAAUUCGUACUGUGUCGCGAAGACACUAAUUUUGUGCUUCAAGUUUGAAAAGUAUUGCUUCGAGCGAGACAAUAUGUCGCGUGAGCGAAAGGGGUGAUUGCUUGGCGUUCAUCUUAUGUUGUCGUGCACUUUCCUAUUCAUGUUUUUUUUUGUGCACCAUUUUUUUGGCAUUUUCCUCAUGAGAUUUAGCUGUAACUGACUCUAGAAGUUAAAAACUUUCUGUGCCACAUAUGAACCUGUUGCCUUGAA